CAAUUGGGCGUGGCAUGUGUACCUUGGAGCUGUUCGGUGUGAAAGUUUUUGUCGCCGCACGCAUAAAUCAAGUUAAUCAUUUGGCGCCAAAGUUGCACAGACGCUGCGCAAAUUGGACAUUUAUAUUUUACGCUCACAACAGCAGCAGCAACAACAACAAUAACAAGAAUCCUCUGGCAUGUCCUGGCACAUAGCUGCUGUGUUAAAUUAUGACGCGUGCAAAGGCAUUUGCUCUUUACUCCAGUGCCUGAUGGCUGAAUUAGUGUAAAUUACUGGGCGAGUCAACUUGAAAGUUAGAUCAUCAAGUUUCGGCUUGUAUAUAGGCAUUCGGCAUUGCACGGGCCAUGCUGCUCGCUUCGAAAUGUUAAGAUUACUUGUAUUUAAAAUGUGAAGAAUAUUGUUCAAUUGGCUUAAGGUUUAUCGAAUGAAUUACAAGAAGUUCCAUUCAACAACAUUUGACGUCCAUUUAUCAGCUAGGAGGCAAGAAGGACGUUCAGUUUACCGAAAAUUGUAAAACACGUCUGAAACGAAUGUUAUAAAGAUCUUUGAAAUUGACU